rnacentral:rRNA from 1 species
UACGUAGGGUGCGAGCGUUAAUCGGAAUUACUGGGCGUAAAGCGUGCGCAGGCGGCUUUGCAAGACAGAUGUGAAAUCCCCGGGCUCAACCUGGGAACUGCAUUUGUGACUGCGAGGCUAGAGUACGGCAGAGGGGGAUGGAAUUCCGCGUGUAGCAGUGAAAUGCGUAGAUAUGCGGAGGAACACCAAUGGCGAAGGCA